rnacentral:rRNA from 1 species
UACAGAGGGUGCAAGCGUUAAUCGGAAUUACUGGGCGUAAAGCGUGCGUAGGUGGUUCGUUAAGUCAGGCGUGAAAUCCCCGGGCUCAACCUGGGAACUGCGCUUGAUACUGGCAGACUAGAGUCUGGUAGAGGGUAGUGGAAUUCCGCAUGUAGCGGUGAAAUGCGUAGAGAUGCGGAGGAACAUCAGUGGCGAAGGCGGCUACCUGGACCAAGACUGACACUGAGGCACGAAAGCGUGGGUAGCAAACAGG